AAACUUUCAACAACGGAUCUCUUGGUUCUGGCAUCGAUGAAGAACGCAGCGAAAUGCGAUAAGUAAUGUGAAUUGCAGAAUUCAGUGAAUCAUCGAAUCUAUUGAACGCACUUGCGCCCUCUGGUAUUCCGGGGGGCAUGCCUGUUCGAGCGUCAUUA
rnacentral:rRNA from 1 species